rnacentral:rRNA from 1 species
CUCAACUCUUAUUGUGCCGGUUCGAGCCAAGCUAUCAAUAAGGACAAGUCCUCGGUGUUCUUUGGCAACCACUAUCCUGAUCAUGUCAAGAACCGAGUGAAGAAUCAGCUGGGUAUAUAUACUGAGACGUUCCAUGAUUCAUAUCUUGGUAUGCCCACGGAUGUUGGACGUUCUCCCACUUGCACUUUCAAGUUACUCACUGAUAGAGCGUGGCAGAAUAUCCAUGGGUGGUCGGAUCGGCCUACGUCUAGGGCUGGGACGGAAACCAUGCUCAAGUCCAAGACUCAAGCCAUUCCCACGUUCAUCUCGAGAUGCUUCCGACUGCCGGUGGCGAUCUGUGGGAGGUUCCGUCAGAUUGUGGCUGAUCAGUGGUGGGGACGGGAAGAUGGCAAGAAGAAGCUUCACUGGCGCUCUUGGGACUUGCUCUCGACCCCGAAAUCCUUGGGUGGCAUGGGCUUCCGCGACAUGGGGCUUUUUGAACCAGGCGAUGUUGGCAAAACAGGGCUGGCGAUUACUGACGGAUCUGAGUCUCUGUGUGCCCGGGUUUUGAAAGGAAGGUACUUCCAGUUCGACAGCUUUUGGAACGCGGGGGCACCUCGUUCUGCUUCUGCGACCUGGCGGGCGAUAUUGCAUGGCCGUGAUUUGCUGAAGAUGGGUGUCUAG